rnacentral:rRNA from 1 species
AUGAACGCUGGCGGCGUGCCUAAUACAUGCCAGUCGAGCGAACGGACGAGAAGCUUGCUUCUCUGAUGUUAGCGGCGGACGGGUGAGUAACACGUGGAUAACCUACCUAUAAGACUGGGAUAACUUCGGGAAACCGGAGCUAAUACCGGAUGAUAUUUUGAACCGCAUGGUUCAAAAGUGAAAGACGGUCCUGCUGUCACUUAUAGAUGGAUCCGCGCUGCAUUAGCUAGUUGGUAAGGUAACGGCUUACCAAGGCAACGAUGCAUAGCCGACCUGAGAGGGUGAUCGGCCACACUGGAACUGAGACACGGUCCAGACUCCUACGGGAGGCAGCAGUAGGGAAUCUUCCGCAAUGGGCGAAAGCCUGACGGAGCAACGCCGCGUGAGUGAUGAAGGUCUUCGGAUCGUAAAACUCUGUUAUUAGGGAAGAACAUAUGUGUAAGUAACUGUGCACAUCUUGACGGUACCUAAUCAGAAAGCCACGGCUAACUACGUG